GACGUAGGGCGCGAGCGUUGUCCGGAUUUAUUGGGCGUAAAGAGCUCGUAGGCGGCUUGUCGCGUCGUCCGUGAAAACCUGCAGCUCAACUGCAGGCUUGCGGUCGAUACGGGCAGGCUAGAGUUCGGUAGGGGAGACUGGAAUUCCUGGUGUAGCGGUGAAAUGCGCAGAUAUCAGGAGGAACAUCGGUGGCGAAGGCGGGUCUCUGGGCCGAUACUGACGCUGAGACGCGAAAGCGUGGGGAGCGAACAGG
rnacentral:rRNA from 1 species